AGAAUACGUAAUACAUACUUAUAUGUUUAUAAAAACAAACAUACAUAAGCACACAUUCUGUAGUUUGGUUUUCGUAACAAUGAAAACAGACAGGAAUGGAUAACUAGGGAAUCUGAUAUCAAAGAAUGCCGAGUUACUUGAUGACAGUAAUAAAUAAAUAAAGGACUCAAGGUCAGAAAGGUAAGCCAUAUGGAUCCACUUCCAGUAAUGAGAAGAAAUGUAAGCAGAGAAAGAACCACUGAUUAGCUGGCACCGUUAAGACAUAAUGUUAGUAA